rnacentral:rRNA from 1 species
ACAUAUUUUAGAACUAAAAUCAUUUUUAUAAAAUAAUAAAAAUUACUUUCAAAUCCACAUUCAAAUUAAUUUAAAAUUAAUUAUCCUUAAAUAAAUUUAAUGUAACCCAUUUUUUCUUUUUUAUAUACUACACCUUGAUCUGAAUUAUUUUUUUAAUAACAUCUUAAAUAUUAAAUUUCUAUAAAAAUAUUUAUAUAACAACGAUAUGUAAACUAAUAAAAAAAGUAAAUUUAAUCGUGGAUUAUCAUUUAUAAAACAGGUUCCUCUGAAAAGAUAAAAUACCGCCAGAAUUUUUAAUUUUCAAGAAUAUAUCUAAUACUAAUUUAAUUUUUAUACCUACAUUUUUAAUAAUAGGGUAUCUAAUCCUAGUUUAAAGUAAAAUUUCCCAACUUCAUUAACUAAUAUAAAAUAUUCUAAAAUAUUGAAAUUUCACCUAACAAUAAUUUCUUAUAAUUUUAUAUUCAAAUAAAUUGUUAUUAAUAAAAUUAAAUUAUAUUAUUUGUAUAACCGCA